rnacentral:rRNA from 1 species
GUGGGGAAUAUUGCACAAUGGGCGAAAGCCUGAUGCAGCAACGCCGCGUGAGGGACGACGGCCUUCGGGUUGUAAACCUCUUUUAGUAGGGAAGAAGCGAAAGUGACGGUACCUGCAGAAAAAGCACCGGCUAACUACGUGCCAGCAGCCGCGGUAAUACGUAGGGUGCAAGCGUUAUCCGGAAUUAUUGGGCGUAAAGAGCUCGUAGGCGGUCUGUCGCGUCUGCUGUGAAAACUGGAGGCUCAACCUCCAGCCUGCAGUGGGUACGGGCGGACUAGAGUGAGGUAGGGGAGAUUGGAAUUCCUGGUGUAGCGGUGGAAUGCGCAGAUAUCAGGAGGAACACCGAUGGCGAAGGCAGAUCUCUGGGCCGUAACUGACGCUGAGGAGCGAAAGCGUGGGGAGCGAACAGGAUUAGAAACCCUAGUAGUCC